rnacentral:rRNA from 1 species
AUUGAACGCUAGCGGGAUGCCUUACACAUGCAAGUCGAACGGCAGCGCGGACUUCGGUCUGGCGGCGAGUGGCGAACGGGUGAGUAAUGUAUCGGAACGUGCCCAGUAGCGGGGGAUAACUACUCGAAAAAGUAGCUAAUACCGCAUACGCCCUACGGGGGAAAGGGGGGGAUCGCAAGACCUCUCACUAUUGGAGCGGCCGAUAUCGGAUUAGCUAGUUGGUGAGGUAAAGGCUCACCAAGGCGACGAUCCGUAGCUGGUUUGAGUGGACGACCAGCCACACUGGGACUGAGACACGGCCCAGACUCCUACGGGAGGCAGCAGUGGGGAAUUUUGGACAAUGGGGGCAACCCUGAUCCAGCCAUUCCGCGUGUGCGAUGAAGGCCUUCGGGUUGUAAAGCACUUUUGGCAGGAAAGAAAUCGCACGGAUUAAUACUCUGUGUUGAUAACGGUACCUGCAGAAUAAGCACCGGCUAACUACGUGCCAGCAGCCGCCGUAA